UAGCCAGGUUUUUAUUAUUAUUAUUAUUAUUAUUAUUAUUAUUAUUAUUAUUAUUAUUAUUAUUAUUUUCUUACAUAUAUAUUUUCUUACAGCAGCUGAGGAGAUGAUCAAUGGUUUCGUCGGUUUCCUUGCACAGUCUGCAUUUUGGGUCAUCAGCUGAUUUUUCGAUCUUGGCCUGAAUUGCCUUUGUUCUGAUGUCUUGCUCCUAGGCUGCAAGGAUCAGGCCUUCUGUCUCCUUCUUCAGGGCCCCAUUCGUGAGCCAUAGCCAGGUGAUUCCUUGGAGAAGGACAUCUGCGAAGGGGGGCGGCUUCCGCUGAACAAGUAUCCCGAAUCUUUACAAUAAAAAUAAAUUAAAAUAAUUAGAUCUCUCUGUAUAGAUAUAUAAGUCUUAUUUCUAACUCUAACAGUCAACGUUGGCUGGGAAAUAACUAUCGAACCGCGUUGGAGGACGUAGACCCCGGCCUGCGGACCGUACGCAGCCCUUUGAGGUCCUUUCCUCAGCUUUCUGCCCUAAAGUUUAGACAAGUGAUUCCCAAAGUGGGGCGCUACUGCCCCCUGGUGGGCGCUGGAGCGAUCCAGGGGGCGGUGAUGGCACCUACCCUGUUUCCCCUAAAAUAAGACAUCCCCAGAAAAUAAGACCUAGUAGAAGUUUUGCUGAAUUGCUAAAUAUAAGGCCUCCCCCAAAAGUAAGACCUAGCAAAGGUUUUGUUUGGAAGCAUGUCCGCCAAACAGAACACCAGAGCAUGCAGGAUCGGUAAAUGUACGUACCAUAGAGUGUUGUACAUGGAAAUAAUGGUAGUAACAAGAAAUUCUUGAUAGGAUUCACAAUUUGUCUGGUUACGCUGGUUUGUGAUGACAACUACUGUACAGUAUAUAAUAAAUGUUCAUUUUUUUGUUCAACAAUAAAUGUGAAUUCUUCAUGGAAAAAUAAGACAUCCCCUGAAAAUAAGACCUACAGCAUCUUUGGGAGCAAAAAUUAAUAUAAGACACUGUCUUAUUUUUGGAGAAACACGGUAUUAGGACACGGGGGCGGGGCCUCUUCCCAAGUGUUGGAGACAGGGCUGAGCCCCUGAGGCACCUGUUAGGACACAGGGGGCGGAGCUAGAGGAGUGGGCGUGGCUUCCCAAGAGCCCAAGACAGUGCUGAGUAUCUAUACCUUUCCUGAGGCGCUUGUUGGGACACAGGGGGUGGAGCUAGGGAAGGGGGCGGGGCCUCCUUCCAAGAGCCCGAGACAUGGCUGAGCCUCUAUACCAGGGGUCCCCAAACUUUUUAAGCAGAGGGCCGGUCCACAAUCUUUCAGACUGUUGAGGGGUCGAUUUAUCAUUUGAAAAAAAUACAAACGAAUUCCUAUGCAUACUGCACAUGUCUUAUUUGUAGUGCAACAACAACAACAACGAAAGAACAAUACAAUAUUUAAAAAUGAAAACAAUUUUAAACAACAUAAACCUAUUAGGAUUUCAAUGGAAAGUGUGGGCCUGCUACUGGCCAAUGAGAUAGUCAAGUUAAUUAGGAUUGUUGUUGUUGUUGUGUGCCUUCAAGUCAUGUCAGAUUCUGGCCGAGCCUAAGUCUAAAAUUAAUUAUUUAUUUACUACAUUUAUAUCCCACCCUUCUCACCCCGAAGGGGACUCAGAGCAGCUGUAUGUACAUACAAUAUAUUAUAUUAUUAGCAUAACACAAUAUUAGCAUUAUAUAUUACUAUAUUGAACUAUAUCACUAUACUAUUCUAUAAUAUGUAAUAUAUAACAUAUAAUUAAUAUUAUUAUAUGGUAUUACUAUUAGUAUUAUAUUGUAUAACAUAGGAUUAUUAUCAAUAUUAUAUGUAUAUAGAAUAUCUUUUAUUAAAACUGAUAUAAAAAUAUUAUAUUAUAAAACUGAGGGCGGGGGCCAGAUAAAUGACCUUGGAGGGCCGCAUCUGGCCCCCGGGCCUUAGUUUGGGGACCCCUGCUCUAUACCUCUCCUGAGAGGCCUUUUAGGACUAAAGGGCGGGGCUGGGGUGGGGGCGGGGCCUCUUCCGCGGAGCCUCUGUAUACCGAACACGGGGGCGGGGUAUAGAGGUUCAGCCCCAUCAAACACUUGGGAAGAGGCCCCGCCCUGUGUCCUGGCAGGCGCCGCAGGACCGGAAUAGAAGCUCAGCCCUGCCUCAGAGCUCGUAACUCCACCCAUCCCAGUCCUGGCCGCCCCUUUGUGGCUCCGCCCACCUCCCCCUCCCAGGCCUGCAUCUUGGACUAGGGGAGAGGCUCAGCCCCGCCCUCUUGAGCAGGAGCCACGCCCACCCCUCUAAGCCACGCCCCUAUUUCCAGGGGAUGCUGAGUAAUAUUUUUUUCUGGAAAGGGGGCGGUAGGCCAAAUAAGUUUGGGAACCACUAGUUUAGACCUAGUGUUGCUGAGAGGGGUCGACCGUCCUCUUUGUCCUCAAAGAGGACAGAUCCACGUGUGUCUUACCGGUCCUGGCCAGGGACGGGGUGGUGCCCAAGGACAGGGCCCGGUUGAGGCGCCCCGGAAGAGAGGAGGAAGAGGUCCGCCGUGGGGAGCGGAAGAGCGGCGGGGCGAAGGGCAAAGCGCAGGGCCGGGCCGGGAAGAAGGCGGUGGGAGAAGGCAACGGCGGAGGGAAAACGAAGCUGAGCUCUGCGCCACCGUCGAGCGGAAUGGGGAUCGGGUCACCGGAGAGAUAUCUGUCAACGAGAAGCAAGAAAGGCAUUCGCAUGGACGCUGAGCCAUCAUGAUGACCUCACAACCUCUGAGGAUGCCUGCCACAGAUGUGGGCGAAACGUCAGGAGAGAAUGCUUCUGGAACGUGGUCAUACAGCUCAGAAAAGUCCCAGCAACCCAGUGAUUCAGGCCAUGAAAGCCUUUGACAACACAGUUCUUAACUCUUUUAAAACCACCAGCUGCAAUCAAUCUUGUCAGUCGAGAGGUUGACAGUUCAAAGCCUGGGUCAGGGUGAGCUCCUGACCUUUAGACCAGCUUCUGCCUCCCUACCGGUUCGAAAGUAAAAUGUGAGUAAAUAAAUAGGUACCGCUUAAAAGUGGGGAGGUAUUUUAAGGCACACAUAAGGAAAUGCCGGUAAUUCAAUGAAAAGGAGGAAUUUUACCAACAAAGCUCUUCGACAGGGAGAUGGAGUGAUAGCACCGAGCACAAGACUGCAAGAAGCCAAAGAUGGGAAAAGCCUAUAUACCUCUAUCUAUGUUCAAUUGUUUUGUCUUGGCUGUGUAUAAAAACGGCAUUGAAUGUUUACCACAUAGAGGGGCGGAAUAUAAACACUGUAAAUAAACAAACAAACAAGUAAACAACCAAAAAAAGGCCAAACGAGUCAAAAAAUAAACCCUCACAGUUUGAAAAGUGGUACGGCUAAGGAGCCCUUUAUUAUACUCGGCAGCUCGAGUAGUGUUUACAACAAUUAUGUAUAUAUAUAGUGUGUUAACUAGACAAUCAGGCACAAUUAAUGCUAUAUAAAAUAAAGAGUAUUUUUAAAGAAGGCUUAUUCCUUAUAAUAAUAAUAAUAAUAAUAAUAAUAAUAAUAAUAAUAAUAAUAUAGUAAUCAUAAAUAAAGACACACAUUGGAGUAUCUGAGAGUAGUACAGGACUACACAGUGGUUAAGUGCUUACAAAGUGUAAAGAAUCAUGAUGACAAAGGGGAGAUCUGCAAAAAUCGAAUAUAUAUUCCUUCUGCAAAAAAAGAAUGUGGGGGUCAAAGUGGGGAGAAAGGGGAAGGAAGAAGACUCCCUUUAAGGACAGGAUCAACUUGGUAAUUCUAUCCGCUUUUCUCUGUUAUAUACACGGCUUUUUGCUGAUCAAAAAGGUUAGGGACCAGGGUACGGUCAAAAUAUAAAAACGG